rnacentral:rRNA from 1 species
GUGGGGAAUUUUGGACAAUGGGCGAAAGCCUGAUCCAGCCAUGCCGCGUGCAGGAUGAAGGCCUUCGGGUUGUAAACUGCUUUUGUACGGAACGAAAAGACUCCUUCUAAUAAAGGGGGUCCAUGACGGUACCGUAAGAAUAAGCACCGGCUAACUACGUGCCAGCAGCCGCGGUAAUACGUAGGGUGCAAGCGUUAAUCGGAAUUACUGGGCGUAAAGCGUGCGCAGGCGGUUAUAUAAGACAGAUGUGAAAUCGCCGGGCUCAACCUGGGAACGGCAUUUGUGACUGUAUAGCUAGAGUACGGUAGAGGGGGAUGGAAUUCCGCGUGUAGCAGUGAAAUGCGUAGAUAUGCGGAGGAACACCGAUGGCGAAGGCAAUCCCCUGGGCCUGCACUGACGCUCAUGCACGAAAGCGUGGGGAGCAAACAGGAUUAGAUACCCCGGUAGUCC